GUACUCGCUUCGGUGGCACGUGCAUUUAAGUCGGAACCAUACAGAGAGGGUUAGCAUGACCCCUAGGAGAAUAUGCCACGUAAAAUCGAAAAAAGGAAAGUAUUGUU